rnacentral:sRNA from 1 species
UUAAUUUUCAUUGGGAAAGGCACAUGCAGUUCAUGGAUUGGCCAACCUAUCAUGAGAAAUAUUAGUAAUAUUACAAUGACACAGUCUUUCUAAUUGGUGAAAUUCACGUGAAUCUCAAAAUGUGGGUGGUUCUCUCAUCUGACGCCGUCUGUUGAGACCAAAUUCAUAGUGGGAGAUGAUACUGGUUUUCAUUAUACAACUGGGAUGCACAUGAAUUUCAUCCAGUAUGAAAAAAGAUGUUGGAAGGAAAGUGUUAUUGUGUGUUGCUAUUUACUAUUCACCUACUAUUCUAAAGUUGUGUAUAGCAUAGGUGAUUUAUAACCUUGGCUUACAAUUAUGUAUGUGGAUCCUAAAGUCUUACCUUCCUCAUAUGGUACUGUGGUCAAAGCAAUUUUUUUCCUUUCUGCAUGUUUAUUUAUAUUGAUUAUGGUAUUUGAAAUUAAGGAUCAUGUUGUGAAUUCAAUGUGUACGUGGGUAUUAGUGAAGAAGCUAUAAAUCAUGGAAACUCUUCCUACUUGUGUUGUUAGACUGUCGACACUUUUUUGUCAUUGACAUUAAAAAUAUAAAUAUCCUACUGGUGUUAGAUACUUCUCUCUCACUAAUUGUCCUAUACAAGAAUUGUUGGCUUAAACACUUGGCCUAAGUUUGUUGUACGCUUUGACACUUCAACUUAAAACUGAACUUCAAGAACACUAGUAUUGUAAAAGAAAUAAUCUUUUUCUAAUAUUUAGGUAGUUUGCUUGAAAUAUCGUAUAUUGAAA